rnacentral:misc_RNA from 1 species
UAAAAAUUAAUUUAAAGAUCACGUAACAAAACUGAAAAUAUUUAGACUCAACGAAUUUUUCUAAGUUUUUUAGAAUUUUUUCGGAAUUUUUAGGCCUCGCUUUCAGUCUCAAGGCAGAGUAAAAAUUUACGUUUUGGGUAUUUCGAAUCGGAUCAAUCGAAUCAAACUAGAUCGAAUCGGAUCGGAUCGGUUGAAUCGGACCGACCUCUUCCCUUUCUCCCCUCCCCUCUCCGGCGUCGCGCCUGCUGCCCUCCCUUCCCUCUCCUUUUUGUCUCUCCUCCCUCCACCCCUCGCCAGCCAGCCACCACCCCAACUUUCCCCGAUCGCCGGCGCACCUUCAGGACGUCUCCUCGCCGCCAG